GUUGUGUUGUUGGUCAUAAUCCAACUGAAGACUUUGUCGGGCGUAAACUUCCUUCUGUACAAGAGGCUAUGUCGGUAUACCUCCAUUACAAACCAAAUUUCAAAUUACAACGAAUGGAGAGUCUUUCAAUUACCAUUGAUAAUGUUUGAGAAAAGUGGUCACAAGCGGAAAUCCCAAAGUGUGGAAAAGAUUAUGCAGUCAAUAAACUUUCUAACUUCUUAGGCCAAGUGAAAAAUUCACAAAAAAGUUCCAAGUGUAGACGAUCAAAGACUCAGAAGCAGAAGGAGUCAAAUUUUGGUCAAAAAUUGAAAAAUUUAUUCGACAUUGCUAAAUUUAUUAACGACGAUCAAAAGUUAUUCCUGGCCGGUCAAAGAUCAAAAAGUCGAUUUGGAUUAAUUGACAAUAUUUUAAAAUCAAAAGAAAUCCAUGAAGAUAUGAUUGUUAAUUGUGGUGAUGUAGGUGAGGUUGAAAGUAAUUUGUUAUUAGCCGCUCAAAAAUCUGGAAUAGUUUAAUCUGACUUAUCAGCAACUACGUCUAGUCAAACGUCGAACCCAGUAACUGAUUUUAAAAUUCCGAUUAGGCAACCAAAGAAAAUGAAUAUCAUUACACCCGAAUUCGCUGGAGCACUCGAUCAAGGAAAAUUAUAGUACACUUCAUCGUGAGCGUGUUAAAUUCAGAACAAACAUCGCAGAAGAUUUAAAAAAAAAGAAUUCCGUACAGAAGACCGUUUUGUUGUGCAUUGGGACGGUUAAGUUGUAUGCGAUAUUUCUGACAAUAAAUCUUUUGAUCGUAUUGCUAUUCUUCUAUACGUUGCUGGAGUUGAUCAGCUUCUUGCAGUUCCAAAAGCUGAAAGUGGGAUAUCACAUCAACAGGCUUCUGCUGUUAUUUCUACUUUGAACCUAUGGAACGUUGCUCUGUACGUAAAAGUGAUGUGUUUCGACACGCCAAUACUGAGUUAAACCGGAAGUUAAUGUGGCUCCCAUGCUGCCAUCACAUAAUGGAAAUUAUUUUGCGGGGAGUUUUUGAAGUAUAUUGGAAUACGAUAUCUGGUCCUAAUAUAUCGAUAUUUGGUCGUUUUAAAAACUCUUGGGACAAACUUGAUCAGUCAAAAUAUAAAAGUGGAAUGGACGAUGAAACUGCGCAAACAUCUUAACCAAUGAACGUGAUGAAAUUGUCACAUUUAUUAACGAU